GAUGAACGCUGGCGGCGUGCCUAAUACAUGCAAGUCGAGCGAACAGACGAGGAGCUUGCUCCUCUGACGUUAGCGGCGGACGGGUGAGUAACACGUGGAUAACCUACCUAUAAGACUGGGAUAACUUCGGGAAACCGGAGCUAAUACCGGAUAAUAUAUUGAGCCGCAUGGUUCAAUAGUGAAAGACGGUUUUGCUGUCACUUAUAGAUGGAUCCGCGCCGCAUUAGCUAGUUGGUAAGGUAACGGCUUACCAAGGCAACGAUGCGUAGCCGACCUGAGAGGGUGAUCGGCCACACUGGAACGGAGACACGGUCCAGACUCCUACGGGAGGCAGCAGUAGGGAAUCUUCCGCAAUGGGCGAAAGCCUGACGGAGCAACGCCGCGUGAGUGAUGAAGGUCUUCGGAUCGUAAAACUCUGUUAUUAGGGAAGAACAAAUGUGUAAGUAACUAUGCACGUCUUGACGGUACCUAAUCAGAAAGCCACGGCUAACUACGUG
rnacentral:rRNA from 1 species